GACGAACGCUGGCGGCGUGCUUAACACAUGCAAGUCGAACGGAAAGGCCCUGCUUUUGUGGGGUGCUCGAGUGGCGAACGGGUGAGUAACACGUGAGUAACCUGCCCUUGACUUUGGGUUAACUUCAGGCAACUGGGGCUCAUACCGGAUAGGAGCUCCUGCUGCUUGGUGGGGGUUGGAAAGUUUCGGCGGUUGGGGAUGGACGCGCGGCCUAUCAGCUUGUUGGUGGGGUAGUGGCUGACCAAGGCAUGGACGGGUAGCCGGGCUGGGAGGGUGACCGGCCCAGUUGGGAUGGGAAUGCGGCACAGACCCCUAUGGGACGCAGCGGAGGAGAAGAGUGCACAAUGGGAGGAAGGCUGGUGCGGCGAAGCCGCGUGCGGGAAAGGGGGCAUCUGGUAGUAAACUGCUUUCGCCUGUGAGGAAGCGUGAGUGACGGUAAUGGGUGAAGAAGCACCGGCUAACUACGUG
rnacentral:rRNA from 1 species